rnacentral:rRNA from 1 species
AUGCAACCAGAUGGUAGUGGCUGGAACAAGGAACUGAUCCAUCAGGUGUUCUACCCUUUUGAUGCUGAAGCUAUAUGUAGUAUUAAGUUACCAGCUUCUGAUGCUGAGGACACUCUAGCUUGGCACUAUGAAAAAUCUGGAAACUUUACGGUUCGCAGCGCAUACAGACUGGCUUAUUCCAUCAAGUAUGAAGCCUGCCUGUCGGCAUCCAGCUCUACAAACAAUGCCAACGACCGAAGCAUUUGGGACAUUAUUUGGAAAGCAAAGGUGCCAGAGAAAAUUAAGAUCUUUGGGUGGAGGGUGGCCACUAAUACCUUGCCUACGAAGAAGAACAAGUGGAAACGCACACUUGAAGUUCAUAGCACUUGUAACAUCUGUGGUAAUGAUGAAGAGGAUGAAUUCCAUGCCGUCGUUUCUUGCACUAAGAGUAAGGCUCUGGGAAAUGAAAUGAGAGGGAUCUGGGACCUGCCAAGUGAAAAACUCUUUGGGUACACCGGUGUGGAUUGGUUGCAAAACCUUCUUCUCCCUUGCAAUUCUGAGACUAGGUCGAAAGUCCUUUUACUUCUCUGGCGGUGCUGGUUUCUUAGAGAUGAUUGCAUUCAUAAUGAAGGAAAGGAGUUCAUUGGCCGCUCUGUUCUGUUCCUUCAGCAGCUUGAAAUCGAGUUGAUCAGCUGCAGUACCACUUCUGACACUAUGAAGGACAUUCUCUUGUUCUACCUGGUUCGGGCGCGACCGUCAUCGCAGAUUCUGUCCUCUGGACUGCCCCUCCGGCUGGUACAGUUAAGCUGA